rnacentral:miRNA from 14 species
AGAGGCAGGCAGAUCUCUGUGAGUUCGAGGCCAGCCUGGUCAACAGAGCUAGUUCUAGGACAGCCAAGGCUACACAGAAAAACCCUGUCUCAAGCAAG